UACGUAGGGGGCUAGCGUUGUCCGGAUUUAUUGGGCGUAAAGAGCGUGUAGGCGGCCAGGUAGGUCUGGUGUGAAAACUCGAGGCUUAACCUCGAGAUGUCAUCGGAAACCAUUUGGCUAGAGUCCGGAAGAGGAGAGUGGAAUUCCUGGUGUAGCGGUGAAAUGCGCAGAUAUCAGGAAGAACACCAAUGGCGAAAGCAGCUCUCUGGGACGGUACUGACGCUGAGACGCGAAGGCCAGGGGAGCAAACGGG
rnacentral:rRNA from 1 species